GUGGGCAAUGUGAGAAGGGAGUUAAACCAGAGGAGGAGGAGGAUGACAUCAGCCCUGAGAAGACGUCUCCCCUGCAUCUCCCACUAACGAUCACGAGACCACAGCAGGAAAGCUCUGGAACUAUCAACGGGUGCCCGGAGACACCCCAAGGAUGGGUUGGAUGGCGUGCGAGAGGAAAGGAUUUGUACAAGGCGCUGACAGCACGGCGUCGCAAACAUCAGGCUGACUGGCGAGCGGCUGCCCACUGGCCUUCCUUUCACGUGACAAGGCUGCGUUUCACGUGGCGACGCACGAGCGUGGGUUGGGCCUGUAAGGAUGCAUUCUGCACGCUGUGGAUCAGGGAUCAAUCAACCCUCUGUAAUCCAAACAGUGGGAAGAGGACGCUAUUGUUCCCGAUUUAUUAGAAAAGACUGAGUUGGGAGGGAGAAUGUAUGAGAACAAAUAUGAAGCAACUGAUUGAUUGAGUAAAAUACUGUGUGUGUGUGUAAAUACAGUAUAUAUAGCCAUUUAUUUUCUGAGCCGCUUAUCCUCACCAGGGUUGCAGGAAUGCUGAAGCCUUUCCCAUCUAUUUUCAGGCAGGAGGCAGGCUACACCCUGAGCUGGUUGCCAUACAAUCGCAGGGCACAUAGAGACAAACAAUCAUUCACACUCACAAUCACAACUAAGGGCAAUUUAGGGUCUCCGAUUAAAUGUUGCAUGUUUUUGGGAUGUGGGAGGAAAUCGGAGUGCACAAAGAAAGCCACACAGGCAGGAGAAGAACAUGCAAACUCCACACAGGCAGUACUGGGAAUUAAACCCCAGUCCUCAGAACUGUGAGGCAGAAAUGAAUAGGUAGCAAAAUCCCAAUAAAAUCAUUACUCCUUAUACUAUUCUGCAAUACUAGUGCCAAAUGAACAAUCCUAUUUGAGUAUUUGAAAAAUGGCUGAACGAGUAAAUGCAUUUCAGCUGCCACAUCUCCUCUUUUUUUUUUAUUUUGAAAUGACAUACUUCAACCAGGAUCCCUCUGUCUACCUGAGCCAAAGGUAGAAUCCCAGGUCCUUUUUGUGUUUGGCGGUUCCGUAAAUCCUCACGGAUCAAGCUGCAACCUUUCCACCUAGCCUGCUGGUUACUUAGCCUACCUUGCCACUCUUGUCAUCUUUCACGCAGGUUUCACACUUCCUCCAGUUCACUCUGCCAAAGUC